AAAACCAGACAUACUUCGCACCACAGGGAACGUCACUAUUGCACUAUGCGUGGGUAGUUCGGAAAGUAGGAAAUAUUCUACUUUACUUAAUUAUAUAGGGAAUUUCAUCAACGGCAAAUCGUCGUGAACGAAAAACGAUUCUUAUCGGAGUAGGGACGUUGGUCACGUCUUUCUAUAAUUGCCAAAAGGCAGAAAUCCAGAAAUCGAAAAACACAAAUAAAAGAACGAUAAACUCUUUUUAAUGCGAAUCAAUCGCGAAAUUAUUGAAUUCGACGUGCUGCGCAUUGACGAGUAAUAUGGUUAAAAGUUAAUUUACUUUUAAUUCUAAGCUUAGCUUUAACAUUUGUUUUAUUAUUAACUUGACUUGUCUUUUGCUUUAACUCAAUGAAUAACGGUUU